GCCCCUAGACGGAGACGUCACGCUGAGAAAGAGGCUCCUGGGAGAACCGGCCCCGCAACGGUGCCCAAUAAACCAACCUUUCAGCCUCAGAUCAACAGCCAUUAGACAGUUACUAACACCAACCUUCAGGAUGGCAAGCCCUGCACCGCUUGUGCUUCAGACAUAAAUGAAGGUGGGACCGGAUCCAUAUUUACAAGACCAGAAAAUCACUUGAGGGUGGACUCAUUUGACUCGCGCCACUCCUUGCCGAACGGAUCCAGAGAGCUGCAGAGGUGCUAAAAGCCCCAAACUGACCUCAGGCUCUGAGUCGG